GAUGAACGCUGGCGGCGUGCCUAAUACAUGCAAGUCGAGCGAACAGACGAGGAGCUUGCUCCUCUGACGUUAGCGGCGGACGGGUGAGUAACACGUGGAUAACCUACCUAUAAGACUGGGAUAACUUCGGGAAACCGGAGCUAAUACCGGAUAAUAUAUUGAACCGCAUGGUUCAAUAGUGAAAGACGGUUUUGCUGUCACUUAUAGAUGGAUCCGCGCCGCAUUAGCUAGUUGGUAAGGUAACGGCUUACCAAGGCAACGAUGCGUAGCCGACCUGAGAGGGUGAUCGGCCACAUUGGAACUGAGACACGGUCCAGACUCCUACGGGAGGCAGCAGUAGGGAAUCUUACGCAAUGGGCGAAAGCCUGACGGAGCAACGCCGCGUGAGGGAUGAAGGUCUUCGGAUCGUAAAACUCUGUUAUUAGGGAAGAACAAAUGUGUAAGUAACUAUGCACGUCUUGACGGUACCCAAUCAGAAAGCCACGGCUAACUACGUG
rnacentral:rRNA from 1 species